rnacentral:rRNA from 1 species
CUUUCGCCUGCCGGCGACCGGCGCACGGGUGAGUAACACGUAUCCAACCUGCCUCAUACUCGGGGAUAGCCUUUCGAAAGAAAGAUUAAUACCCGAUGUUAUAGUCCUACCGCAUGAUGGGAUUAUUAAAGAAUUUCGGUAUGGGAUGGGGAUGCGUUCCAUUAGUUAGUUGGCGGGGUAACGGCCCACCAAGACAACGAUGGAUAGGGGUUCUGAGAGGAAGGUCCCCCACAUUGGAACUGAGACACGGUCCAAACUCCUACGGAAGGCAGCAG